rnacentral:rRNA from 1 species
UACGAAGGGUGCAAGCGUUAGUCGGAAUUACUGGGCGUAAAGCGUGCGUAGGCGGUUUCUUAAGUCCGUUGUGAAAGCCCCGGGCUCAACCUGGGAAUGGCAGUGGAUACUGAGAGGCUAGAGUGUGUCAGAGGAUGGUGGAAUUCCCGGUGUAGCGGUGAAAUGCGUAGAGAUCGGCAGGAACAGCCCAGGGGGAAACCGAGCCGACUGGGCAUCUACGUGACGCUGAGGUGCGAGAGCGUGGGGAGCGAACCGG